GAUGAAGAACGUAGUGAAAUGCGAUACGUAAUGUGAAUUGCAAAUUCAGUGAAUCAUCGAGUCUUUGAACGCACAUUGCGCCCCCUGGUAUUCCGGGGGGCAUGCCUGUCCGAGCGUCAUUGCUGCCCUCAAGCACGGCUUGUGUGUUGGGCCCCGUCCUCCGAUCCCGGGGGACGGGCCCGAAAGGCAGCGGCGGCACCGCGUCCGGUCCUCGAGCGUAUGGGGCUUUGUCACCCGCUCUGUAGGCCCGGCCGGCGCUCGCCGAUCAACCCAAAUUUUUAUCCAGGUUGACCUCGGAUCAGGUAGGGAUACCCGCUGAACUUAAGCAUAUCAAUAAGCGGAGGA
rnacentral:misc_RNA from 1 species